rnacentral:rRNA from 1 species
AUUGAACGCUGGCGGCAGGCCUAACACAUGCAAGUCGAGCGGAUGAAGGGAGCUUGCUCCUGGAUUCAGCGGCGGACGGGUGAGUAAUGCCUAGGAAUCUGCCUGGUAGUGGGGGAUAACGUCCGGAAACGGGCGCUAAUACCGCAUACGUCCUGAGGGAGAAAGUGGGGGAUCUUCGGACCUCACGCUAUCAGAUGAGCCUAGGUCGGAUUAGCUAGUUGGUGGGGUAAAGGCCUACCAAGGCGACGAUCCGUAACUGGUCUGAGAGGAUGAUCAGUCACACUGGAACUGAGACACGGUCCAGACUCCUACGGGAGGCAGCAGUGGGGAAUAUUGGACAAUGGGCGAAAGCCUGAUCCAGCCAUGCCGCGUGUGUGAUGAAGGUCUUCGGAUUGUAAAGCACUUUAAGUUGGGAGGAAAAGCAGUAUGUUAAUACCUUGCUUUUUUGACGUUACCCACAGAAUAAGCACCGGCUAACUUCGUG